rnacentral:rRNA from 1 species
GACGAAGGAUGCAAGCGUUAUCCGGAUUCAUUGGGUUUAAAGGGAGCGUAGGUGGCCUUAUAAGUCAGUGGUGAAAUCUCUGGGCUUAACCCAGAAAUUGCCAUUGAUACUGUAGGGCUUGAGUAUAGAUGCCGUUGGCGGAAUAUGACAUGUAGUGGUGAAAUACAUAGAGAUGUCAUAGAACACCGAUUGCGAAGGCAGCUAACGAAACUAUAACUGACACUGAGGCUCGAAAAGUGUGGGGAUCAAAACAGGA